rnacentral:rRNA from 1 species
UUCGGCAAUGGACGAAAGUCUGACCGAGCAACGCCGCGUGAGUGAAGAAGGUUUUCGGAUCGUAAAGCUCUGUUGUAAGUCAAGAACGUGUGUGAGAGUGGAAAGUUCACACAGUGACGGUAGCUUACCAGAAAGGGACGGCUAACUACGUGCCAGCAGCCGCGGUAAUACGUAGGUCCCGAGCGUUGUCCGGAUUUAUUGGGCGUAAAGGGAGCGCAGGCGGUCAGGAAAGUCUGGAGUAAAAGGCUAUGGCUCAACCAUAGUGUGCUCUGGAAACUGUCUGACUUGAGUGCAGAAGGGGAGAGUGGAAUUCCAUGUGUAGCGGUGAAAUGCGUAGAUAUAUGGAGGAACACCAGUGGCGAAAGCGGCUCUCUGGUCUGCCACUGACGCUGAGGCUCGAAAGCGUGGGUAGCGAACAGGAUUAGAUACCCUGGUAGUCCACGCCGUAAACGAUGAGUGCUAGGUGUUAGGCCCUUUCCGGGGCUUAGUGCCGGAGCUAACGCAAUAAGCACUCCGCCUGGGGAGUACGACCGCAAGGUUGAAACUCAAAGGAAUUGACGGGGGCCCGCACAAGCGGUGGAGCAUGUGGUUUAAUUCGAAGCACGCGAAGAACCU